AAUUAAUAUAAACCUUCGGAAGAGAAGAAGUUAAAACAGGGUUAGUUAAUUUGGUUCUAUUGUAGGCAGAUCAAGAAUGACAUCAUGAAACAGGAAAGUUUCACUUGCAAUAAAUACCAUGAGGGAGACACAAGGCUAAAAUGACAUGUUAAUUCUGUUGAGUUUUAACUUUAAAGUACCUUUUUUAUCAUCUAGACUAGCACUUUAGUUUCAAACUUCGUAGCUCCUCAUGCAUUCACCUCGUCUGCCUUCAAGAGCCUUUAACAUACUUUCAACUAUUUGCUUCCAUCAAGAAGAUGAAAAACCGAAGCAUAGGAAAACAAGUUUAAGAAAAUUAUUACAGAAAUAAUUAUUCAUCCAUAUAUGUACAUUCCACUCCAAGUCCAGAUAAUCUCAGCACACACAGCUCGUAUUGAGCUACCUUUUCAAUGAAUUCAAUGCACUGGAACUUGAGAAGUUUACUGCAUAAAAUAACCACGCAUUGCAUGCACAACUGGAAAAAAGGAUGAAUUGAACAAAAAACAGAAGUAACUGAAUGGAAUUGAAACCCUCCUUAUUUUAAACUUAUACGUACUAUAAGUUGCUUUUUCUAUUGUCGAGUUCCCUUGCCAAGAUUUCCAACUGAAUUUACUUACUAAAAUCACUCAUUAAAACUUUUAUUCAAGGUCUUUAUAUAUAUACCGAACUGACUACUCCAAAGGCAAGUACUACAAACCUACAAUGAAUAUUGCUAUUCCAAUGUUUGAAAAUAAAAAGCUAUAACAAAUAAGAUACUAAGAAUGAACAAAACAUUGAUGACAUAACAACAUUAAUCAGAAAAACAUAUUUAGGAAAAUAGUCUUAUUGGGAUACAUGAAAGCUGAGUCUUAUUCCGAUACACGAAUGCUAAAGUCAUCUAACUUGCUGAAUUCACCCAAGAGAAAUCCAUGAUUGUUAAUAAUUUGCACACCAUACAGCAUCCCAAACUUGACAGUCUGUCCGUCUGAAAGUGAACUAUUCUGUUCCGCAUUUGAACCAACCUUGGUUUCCUCAAAAACAUCCUUUUUUAUCAUGCUCACUUCAUUUGGAGAAUCCGGGGUAUCAAAUUCGAUAACCGUAGGUGAAGAAUCUUCAGAGGAAUUCUCACAAGGAACACAAUCAAUUCCCUGCCCAGCACUCUGUUUUUCCACAAAUUCACGCUUCUUGUCCAGGUAAGCAUUGGAGGCCUCUUCAGCAGAGUUGUAAGUCCCCAACCAAACUCUUUUCUUCUUGAAAGGAUCUCUGAUCUCAGCACAGUAUUUUCCCCAUCUUCUCCUCCGCACCCCAAUUAAUUUUUUCAUCCCGUUAUGAUCAAGAACCCUCGAAUUCAAUUUCUUAAUUCGUGCAUGAAUUUUUCCAGAACCCUUCUUGUCAAGAAUUUUUUCCGGCUGAAGUACAAUCUCAUGAACCAUCCUCUUCGAUUUUUUUGCGGUUCCAUCACCACCUUCGUCCGAUGAAGAAUCAGUGGCAUCAGGAUCUGAGUAUGAAACUCUGACCUUCCUUUUCAUGGUUUCAAUCCUUCUCCAGCCGAAACCCUUUCUUCAAAUUUGAUAAAUAAUCUUUAUUGGAAGAACCCGGAAAAAACAAAGAAUUGAAGAUGAUAUAUGUAAUAGUUGAUCAGUUUAGGAGACAAAACAUAUCCAUAAUGAAAAUCAGAACUAGCAACGAAGAACCCUAAAGGGCCAAGCCCAUUAACGAAUUUUACAGGAAUUUAUCUUUGCUUGUAAUCACUUCGGACAAAAGUAUCCGUUCUUCGUAGAUUCUAUAUACUUUGGAAAAUGCUUUCAGGAGUCUCCAAUCUUUCCAUUAGUACUAUUCCAUGUCUCAAACCUUUCAUUCGGAUCAACACACG
rnacentral:lncRNA from 1 species